AUUAAAUGUCAAAUAUCAAUUAAUGAUUGAAGGAACAUUCACAUUUACUAAUUGAGUAGAAAACUUGGAGCCAUUGUAAUGACCACAGUGAAUAUGGAAUUCUCUACAAAUAAAAUGUUCGGAGAUUUUGAGAAAACAAGACUGAGCAAUAUGUUAAAAAAUGCCUGGGGAAGCCACUGCACUGAAAAGCAGUCCCCAGAGCUGGCAAAGCCUUGCCUGAACAUUGGGUCCUGGGAGAUCUACAACUGCCAAAUUCCCAUCAGAGUGUGUGUGGAGACAUAGGAAUCCCUGAGAGGACAUCUCAGACAAGGACUCUUAGAACUGCUGACUCCUUCAUCCCUUCUGCAAUGCCAGCCAUCUGAACUAAACGCUUUGGUCAGAGGUGACGGCUCCUGGGGCUCUUGACCCUGAGAGUAGGAAUGCCUUGGAGCACCUAAUGGGGAGCAAAGCUGCAUAGUUUUUACAGACCUAAAGGCCCAGAUAUCCUUGAAUCCCCAUGGCUGAGCUGGCAGAGAACAGGCACAUGUCUUGUGGAAAUUUGUUGAAACUGAAAUGUCACUGUGAAAACUUCUGGGUUCAGUGUUUUGACAUUUUUCACUGAAUAAACAUUCAGUUGGAAAAUUCUUGACCA
rnacentral:lncRNA from 1 species